UCUCAGGCUAAGCAUGGCAGGCACAGGGAAGUCUCUUCCCAUUAUCUUAGCACCCCCAUCUCUCCGUGCCCCCCAUUUCUGUGCAACCCGCACCCCUCCAAGCACUGAGCACGAUUCUGAUGCUUUCUUUGAUGCAGAAAUGGAGGGGCAGCUUGAUUGUCGCUAUACAGCGACAUAGAGCUGGGCAUAGUGCCAACCACAGGACAAGGGCUUGGUACCUAUCUUGAAAUAACUGGUCCAUGACCAGCCAAUACAUGGCUUAAUGUGUCUCCUGGAUAGAAGAACUACGUCAUCGAAUGGAGAGGUGAUCUGCCUGGGCUCUGGCCUCCAGCCGUGGGAAGACCAGGGGUCGCCCGGCACCCGCGUGCCUCACACAAGGAACGGAGGCCGCCGGGUGGCAGGAGCAGCUCCUUCCCAGACACUUGCUUCAUCCUCCUGUCUCUCUGACGGCCGCAGAUGGACAAACAGGCUUUAUGGAAGCGACCACAGGUGACAGCCCUCCUCCUACCCACCGUCCGCCAACACCGGCGCGUCCUCCCUGCUUCGACAUUUACGUUUUUCUCUCUGGGCUGGCUUCGCUAGCCCUCCCGGGGACCGUCGGCCCGACUCAGUCAUCCAUUUCCGCCGCCACCUCUCCUCCCCGCAGUUGCAGACCUGCUUCUCCAGAAGACAAGCCUGGCCUCCCCUCUCAGACAUGGCCUCGGUGGCGUAGGGAAGUCCUGGUAGGUUCCACAGGCCCCCCGGCAGCCUCCCGCUCCACCCGGGGCCAACACAUCUCUUCUCCACAUCCCAAACAUUCUUCUCUCAGGUCGGGGAGCCCCCACAGAGCUGGGCCUGGGGUGCCAGGUCCUCCAAGCUUAACAGCCUUACGUCGGGGAGAGGAGGGCGCCCUUCCUCCCAGCGCCUAGUGCGGAAGACGCUGGUGGGCGUGGCCUGGGUCACGUGUCCAGGCGGAGGGGGCGCGGUCACGUUUCCCGAAAGAGGGUCUGUCCACAGGCAAAACUACACGUUCGGAGUCAGAGGACGACCAGUCCCCCAAAAGAAGAGGGGCGAUAUUCUGAGUGAACAAAACAAUAUUCACUCUAGGCUCGCUCAAGAAAAGCUAGAAAAUAAAAGGAAAAAAAGCACACUGUUUUCUUACACAGCUUUAGCUAUUUUUAACACUUUUCCUUCUACCCUUUCAAUUUUUCUCUGUGAAUGUAUCUAAAUGUUUACACAUUUCCAUACGUAUGUGUGCACAUGUAUGAGGGUUAUACUGGAUAUUCUGUUUUCAAACCUGAUUCUUUUAUUUGAUGUACCUUGAAAAUCUUUUCAUGCCAAUAUUUAUAGGGCAUUGCUCUU